rnacentral:rRNA from 1 species
UACAGAGGGGGCAAGCGUUAUUCGGAAUUAUUGGGCGUAAAGGGCGCGUAGGCGGCUUUGCAAGUGACGGGUGAAAUCCCUCGGCUUAACCGAGGAACUGCCUGUCAGACUGCAUGGCUUGAGACCAGGAGAGGUGAGUGGAAUUCCCAGUGUAGCGGUGAAAUGCGCAGAUAUCAGGAGGAACACCGAUGGCGAAGGCAGGUCUCUGGGCCACUACUGACGCUGAGAAGCGAAAGCAUGGGGAGCGAACAGG